AUACUUACCUGGACGGGGUCGAUGGUCGAUCAAUAAGGUUCAUGGCCUAGGUCAGUGACAUCCAUUGCACUUAGGAUGGGUGCUGGCUUAAGGUCUCCCCAAGUUGGGAGAUCCUACGUCAAAAUUUGUGGUAGAGGGGGCUGCGCGAGUCGCGGCCCCUGC
rnacentral:snRNA from 1 species